UGCUAAACACACAGCUUCUACUGGUUUCUGCACAUUUGUGUACUCCAAAUCAAAAUCACAGUGAUCAUUCUGGAAAUGGAAAUAUGAUUGCUGGAUCCACCUCUGAGCCCUGAACUUGUAUCAGGUAUGAAGAAAACUGGAACAAAAAAGAAUCUUCCUGGGUGAGAUUAUUCACAAGGAAACACUAAAUGAAUCAUAGUUUAUGAAAGAGGAAGAACCCUAGAGCAGGU
rnacentral:lncRNA from 1 species